AGGAUAGUGUUCUUCCAACUGUAAUUAAUUACCUCAUCAAAGUGUGCAAGACGGAACAAGUCUCUUGGAAAUGCAACUUUAAAUUGGAUUGAAAGACAUCCUAACCACAGAAGGAUCUAAAAACUACGCAGUUGACCCCCCUAAAUCAUGCAAAUAUUGAACAGUAAGAAGCAUUCUUUGUACGUUUAUCUUCGAAAGCUGAUGUGAUGGGAUGAACCUAUUGAAUAUUCAUGUUUAACAUUGUGAAUAUUCAUUGUUGUUUACAUUGUGAAUAUUCAUACUUUGUAUUGGGAAUGCGUAUAUUUGAAGAGACAAAGUUGUAUCUUCGGUAGAGAGUGUGCACGAGUGGAUCAACGGUAUUCAUCAGUGCGCAGCAUUCUACUAGAAGGGUGCAACGUCUUCAAACAUUCAAGAACAUCCUUUCGGAACCUUGCAAAAUUUUUACGGAAUCUUGCUGAACUUGGCAGUUGUGUGCUCUAUUGAGCCAUUUCAAACCAAAUACAUUUUUCUUGGAUCAUCUCCCAGUGUGGAUGUACUGUGUCCAGAAUUGAUGAACUUUCAUUCACUCUGAAGGCUUUUGAAAGAGAAGUUAAUUAAGAACUUGUGAAAUAACAAGAAUUCAAUAAACUUAUUGGCCAGUGUGAAACUUGGUCUUGUUGAAUUAUCUUGUUUGGAUAAAGCACACUGAGGGUAAAGGAUUGACAAUCAAUUACAAUAGAAUUGAGGAAAACCACCAUGCCACUUUCAAUUCUAAAAGUGCAUCUGCCAACACCCGGAUAGUUUCAUGUUUAAGAUUGAAUUGGAAGUGGUCAGUCAAAGCAAGUAGGAAGGGCUGGUGAAGGUGUCUAGUCUCCACUUGUAACUCGGCUACAGUAUCCAG